AUAGCGACGUUGCUUUUUGA
rnacentral:snRNA from 1 species